GCGGACGUGGCGAAAUUGGUAGACGCAAGGGACUUAAAGUCCCUCGAGCUUGCUCGUACGGGUUCGACCCCCGUCGUCCGCACCA
rnacentral:tRNA from 1 species